rnacentral:tRNA from 1 species
GCCCGCGGGGCUCAGUGGUUGAGCGUCCGCCUAUGAACCAGGAGGUUAUGGUUCAAUUCCCAUCAAGGGCA